UGUGUGUGUGUGUGUGUGUGUGUGUGUGUGUGUGUGUGUGUGUGUUCCAGGUGUAUAGAUACCUGCCUGGCUUUGAUUGGUUCUUCCUGGACGCCAUCACAGCCAACAACAUCCGCUUCGCCAGCGAUGAGAAUGUGAACCACAUCUCCUGUCCCGUGUUGAUCCUCCACGCCGAGGACGACGCCGUUGUCCCCUUCCAUCUCGGUAAAAAGCUCUACCACCUGGCGUCCCAGUCCAAGAGUCUCAGUGGACACAAGGUCCAGUUUGUCCCCUUCUCGUCGUCUCUGGCCUACAAACACAAGUUCAUCUACAGGAGCCCGGAGCUGCCCAACAUCCUCAGGUACCCCCCAACAUCCUCAGGUACCCCCCAACAUCCUCAGGUACCCCCCAACACCCUCA